GAAACGUUGCGUUUUUAUUCUUAGAAGGGAAGUUAAAAAAGUAUCCGCCGCUAAAUCCUAUCCAAUUCCCCGUCAUUAAUUUCACUUCAAAGAAAAGAAAAAAAAAUAAAAACCUCUUUCUAUGUUUCUAAAGGAGCCAUAUUUGAAACUAUGGAGCUGGUGAAUCUUCUGGGCUUCGUUUCGUAUGAGAGAAAUUAUAAAUGGUACUUAUAAGUUUUACAUCCGCAAGCCUCCUCAAAUUUGGUUUGAGUCCUCAAACUAGACUUUCACAUAGAAAGUAUUUUAUUUCAUGAUCAUCACCUGGAUAUCUUAACAUCCAGGCUGUGCAAGAGAAUGGAGGUCCUCGAAGACUGGUUGACAUCAUAAGGCUUGUGCCAGAUAUCUCUAGGAAUUACUUUCGAAGUCCUUCUCGAAGGGCACUUUUUUGGUGGAAUCUCCCUGUUGGGAGGUUUUUAUGUUGCACAAACAAUCCCUCUGUCCUUUGGAGCUUUAGGAGUCAAUGAUGUGAUUGCAGCAGUACUAUGAGUGCUACUGACAGAGUAUGUGACUAGGUUUUAUUACAGCCGUCCAAAGUAAGUAUGUAAACUGUCUUCUGCCUACAUGUUGGUGAAGCAAACUCUCAGACCAAAAGUUGAGAGGUACCCUAAUUUUUAUGCUGUAAAGCUAGUAACUUUGUGAUCCAGACAUACGCCCCUCAUCAUGGUAACUUUUGUACUGAAUUGGAUGUGGUCUUUUGCUGUUUUGUAUUCUAACAUGGAGAAGCUGCAGUAGUAGAUCUGCAGUUGUGACUUGUGUUGUCAUAAUUCCACAUCCUUUCUCAUCUUGAUCCUGUUAUAGACAGCUUAUAAAGACAUAUACCGUUGGAGGCAUAAAAUGUUUAGAAACAAAGCUGCUUAAUAGUUCUAUGAGAUGUGGUCGUGGCUUGGAAUAUAAUUCCUACCAGCUUUGUAAGCUUUAUUUAAUACUGUGCCAAUGAAUGGUGUAAGAGUUCUUUUCAUAUUAUCAUGCAUCCCGGUUCCCAAAAUUUUGUUUCUCUAAUAGCCAUCAGUAAGUAAUGACGUUCCAUGUCCUCUUCAGAACCAUUGUAUUUAUGAUAUGACCAAAUCUUGUUGCAUUAUUUGUUGUCGACCUUGAGGUUGCUCCUCAAUAAUGUCCCGCACCCUAAUCUUCCCCAAGAGACGAACUUUGGUGGUCUAUCAACUAUUAUGGUGGUACUCUCCAUCAAUCUUUAAAGGUGGUAUUUUACUGCAGUUUUCUGGAUACCUUAGGCUGUUCAGGCCUUUGGUCAUGAGCAAGCUCCACUUCAUGAGUCAUGAUGUGUCUCUUUAGGAAGAUUUAUGAACUGGUCCUGAGUUACACCGUCUUUAAAGGUGCAUCGCUCUUUAAUUUCUCAAGCAGCAAUACCUCACGGCAAAGGCCGAACGCUUAUUGUUGUCCCUCUUAUGUAACACUUUAAAUUUCAUAGAGUGAACAUGAUAGGGAAAUGGUGCUCAAAACUGCUUCAUUAGGAUUUGUAUUUCCUUAAAUCGUUUAUUAGAAUUGGGGUAUUCGUUUAUUAGAAUUGGGGUAUCUGAAAUGCAUAGCAUGCUUCUUCUUUACCAAGAGAUAUAAGCGAAACCAUUCUGAAAUACAAAAUAAGGAGCGGAGAUACCAUACAAGUAACAGGGUUUAUUGUAUUCUUAUGCAUUAAGUAAUGACUGAAUUGUCGCGUUGCAAUCUUUUCCUCAGCACGUUUUGACAAUUUUACCCCUUUUAAAACAUAUUCAUUGGAGUUAUUUUUACCUCUUAAAAAGAAAAAAAACAAAAAGCAAUUCUAGUUGUGGUCCUAUGAUUUAAUGGUGUUUUAUAUG